GAUGAACGCUGGCGGCGUGCUUAACACAUGCAAGUCGAACGGUGAACACGGAGCUUGCUCUGUGGGAUCAGUGGCGAACGGGUGAGUAACACGUGAGCAACCUGCCCCUGACUCUGGGAUAAGCGCUGGAAACGGCGUCUAAUACUGGAUACGAGUAGCGGCCGCAUGGUCAGUUACUGGAAAGAUUUUUUGGUUGGGGAUGGGCUCGCGGCCUAUCAGCUUGUUGGUGAGGUAAUGGCUCACCAAGGCGUCGACGGGUAGCCGGCCUGAGAGGGUGACCGGCCACACUGGGACUGAGAAACGGCCCAGACUCCUACGGGAGGCAGCAGUGGGGAAGAUUGCACAAUGGGCGAAAGCCUGAUGCAGCAACGCCGCGUGAGGGAUGACGGCCUUCGGGUUGUAAACCUCUUUUAGCAGGGAAGAAGCGAAAGUGACGGUACCUGCAGAAAAAGCGCCGGCUAACUACGUGCCAGCAGCCGCAGUAA
rnacentral:rRNA from 1 species